rnacentral:misc_RNA from 1 species
UGCCUUCUUGGGACUGCCGA